CUGGGGAUUAUUUCUUGAAGCAGACAGUGAGCCACUUCAUUUGCUUUUUCAGUUCGGGUAGGAAAGGCCUCCACCCAUCCUAAGAAGGCUGGUGCCAGCAGUGUACAGGACCCAAUCUGGGUCUGAGAUUGGCUGGUCUCUCAAGUCAGGUCUGCUGGCAUAAACUUCUUCUAGGAUUUCCUUGCAAUCAUAAUAAACCCCAAAUAUCUUACCUCCUCUUUGGAGAUCGGUGCCUUCUUUUUCAAGACUCAAUAGCCGGACUACAUCAACAGCUCUAGUAAAGCCUUGGUCCCUUCCCAGCAGUAUUCUCCAUUCUUGGCAGCCAAAAGCAAUUGUCCACAUAUUGUAGCAACAAGGAUCUGAACCUCUCUGGCUGGAAUGAGUCCAAGUCAGAAGCCAAGUCUUCCCCAAAGACGGUUGGGGGAUUCUUAAAUCCUUGAGAGAGUUCACAAUCACCAGGAGAGGCGGAUGCAACCUAGGAGGUCCCACUAGGGUGGAAUCCUGGGGGUGUUGACCAGAGGUCUCCAUCGCCUGAAUCGGAGCCUGCUGAAAGGGCAGUUCUGUGUCUCCAGGAGAGCUGGCGGAGGAGCAGCUGCUGCAGGAACUUCAGUUGGCCCUGGAUCAAGCAUUAAGCACCCUUCUUUUCAAUGGAUCUGUUCAAGUUGUCAGAGAUAAAACAGGAGGAAGAUUUCCUAUAAAUAGAACCAACAUUAGCAUUGGAACUAGCACCAGCAGCUGCAGAAAGAGAUUGAUAACCCUGUAAUUCCUAUCUGGAUGUCAAGAUUAAGGCCAUGAAAUGAAGGGUCUCAUAUGAACAUUUGUUAUCAGUAGUAUUUCACACAAUCUUUGCUGAGAAGAAUGCAGCUACAGUCUGUAUGUUUCAUUAUUCUAUUUACAAUAACCUUUAACACUAAUCUCAAUUUGUAGAAUAUUUAUUUGCUAACUUGAAUUGGAACAAAAAUUAAAUCUACUGAUCCAA